UAAGAGACAGCAGCACCGCGGUAAUACGUAGGUGGCAAGCGUUGUCCGGAAUUAUUGGGCGUAAAGGGCUCGCAGGCGGUUUCUUAAGUCUGAUGUGAAAGCCCCCGGCUCAACCGGGGAGGGUCAUUGGAAACUGGGAAACUUGAGUGCAGAAGAGGAGAGUGGAAUUCCACGUGUAGCGGUGAAAUGCGUAGAGAUGUGGAGGAACACCAGUGGCGAAGGCGACUCUCUGGUCUGUAACUGACGCUGAGGAGCGAAAGCGUGGGGAGCGAACAGGAUUAGAUACCCGCGUAGUCCCUGUCUCUUAUACA
rnacentral:rRNA from 1 species